AAGUCGUAACAAGGUUUCCGUAGGUGAACCUGCGGAAGGAUCAUUAUCACGUAUCCACGUAUAAACCAUUGUGAACUGUCACCCACCUUUGUAAGAAACUCAGAAGAAUGUAAACGCUCAUGGUCCUUAUUGUAAUUUAAGACCUGUUUGCAUUCGAUCGCCGGGCAACCGACGGUAUGACUUCUCUCAAAGUGUAUUUAAAUUACAUUUGAUUAACAAUUUGAACAACCUUUUAAACUUUGAACUAACUUGUUUCUUACUCUUAACCGAGAAGAAAUUCAUUACGAAACAAAGAACAACUCUUAGCAACGGAUAUCUUGGUUCUCGUAACGAUGAAGAACGCAGU
rnacentral:misc_RNA from 1 species